rnacentral:rRNA from 1 species
UCAGACACGUCAGAGUUUGAUCCUGGCUCAGAGUGAACGCUGGCGGCGUGCCUAAUACAUGCAAGUCGAACGGAGUAUUAAGAGAGCUUGCUCUUUUAAUACUUAGUGGCGCACGGGUGAGUAAUGUAUAGUUAAUCUGCCCUACACUGGAGGACAACAGUUAGAAAUGACUGCUAAUACUCCAUACUCCUUCUUAACAUAAGUUAAGUUGGGAAAGUUUUUUCGGUGUAGGAUGAGACUAUAUUGUAUCAGCUAGUUGGUAAGGUAAUGGCUUACCAAGGCUAUGACGCAUAACUGGUCUGAGAGGAUGAUCAGUCACACUGGAACUGAGACACGGUCCAG